CCUGAUCCAGUCCAUGCCGCGUGUCUGAAGUAUGUGCCUUCGGGUUGUAAAGUGACUUUUGUCCGGGAGUCAAAUGCCCUGGUGCUUAAUAAGCGACCUGGGGAGCUGAGAGUUACCAGGAAGAAUAAGCACCGGCUAACUACGUG
rnacentral:rRNA from 1 species